ACAUAAUAUAAAAAGAACAUAGGCUCUGGAGUUCCAUAGGCCUGAAUUUGAUUUUCAGCUUGACCACUUCUUGGCUGGUAUGAUCUUAGGGUUGGGUUUCAUGCAAGGAGCCGGCAGCUGCUGCCAGUUUGUUACCCUAUCUUCAUGAUCCCCAGAUUUACAUUUGAAGAAGAUAACUUUUGAUUCUAUGUGGUGAACGAAUUGGCAAAAAUAGCUACAGAAAGGCCAGUUAGGAGGCUGUUGUAGAAGUCCAGGCGAGGUCACACGGAGAAGGCAACCAUCUGCUAACUAGGAAAAGAACUUUUGCUGGAGCCCAAGCAUGCUGGCACUGUGAUCUUGACCUUCAGCCUCCAGAACUGUGGGAAAAUACAUUUCUGUUGCUUAACCCAUCCCAUCUAUCUGGUAUUUCACUGUGGGAUCCCAAGUAGACUGAUACAGAAGGCCUCUCCAACAAGAUGGCAUUUGAGCAGAGACCUGAAGAAGUAACAGAGCAGGUCAUACAGACACUUAGGAAGUAUAUUCUAGGAAAAUGGACUAACAAGUGCAAAGGCCCAGAGUACAUCUCCAUCCUUCUCUAAGACUGCUUGCAUUUCCCAAGUACCUGUGAAUCUUCUGACUCAAAGGCAGUGGCCAGUGGAAGGCCGUGUGUGGUAGGCUGCUUCAUUUGUUGACAAUUAUGUGGUUCCCCUGUGUUUGCCAUGCUUCUCUGCAGGUGACAUCCCACCCGCUGGCUUUGGGCUGGGCCAUGGGACUUACUUUGAUAGGUGUCACAUGAGCAGACAUGUCAGAGUUAAGAUUUAGAUGUACUGGCAUAGCUUGGCUUUGUCCCCUUCGGAGUCGUUCUCUACUGUGAGAACAGCUUGCCUUAGAAAGUGGCUGCUCCUCCCUCAUGAGCUACUGAAUGAGAAGCCAAGUGGGAAACCAGUGGAGUCCAGUCCGCAAGAAAGAAAUGUUUAUAGUUGUAAACCACCGAGAUUUGGGGCUUCUUUGUUGUUGCAGCAAAAUCUGACCAAAAAGAUCAGAUUCUGUGCUAACUAAGCACUUUCAAAUAUUAUUUCAUUUCAUUUUCACACCAGUACUUCCCUGUGUAGUGGGUAUUCUCACCCAGUUUUGUAGGUGAGGAAAUGGAGGCCCAGAAAAUUCAAGCACCUUGUCCAGGAUUAUACAACUGACAAGAAGCAACACUCUAAUGUAGAUCCAACUGACUUCCUUCCACAUGUCAUGUGCCACUUUCUUUUACAUGUGUUCUGCAGGGAGAGAGUAAUGGACACUGAAGUUGCUAAGAUACCCCACCCCCACCCCCAUGAGUAAGGCUGGACUUCUUUCUCCCUCUCAAGCCCUGUUGACUCUUUUCCUUUCUUCUUCCUUUCCUCUCCCACAACUACCCCUCCACUCCACACCUACUGCUGAAAUGCGCUCUGUCUCUCAUUUUCUUCCAAAUGGCUAUAAGCAACUACCUUUUUUUGUGAAAUCUUUUCAAAUAACAAGAGAAAGUUUGGUCUUUCUUGUCUUUAUUAUUUCCAAACAUAUAUGAAAAUCUCUUGGCUAUUUAUUCCCCAUUCUUUGUUCCCAAAUGCAUGUUGUUGUUGUUGUUGUUGUUUUUUGUCUUUGUCCUAUAAAUAUAUAUACUGCCAUAUUUGGUGAGCAACUACCAUGUGGCAGCCACUGUGCUGGGGCUGGAGAGUGACAGGUAAGAUAUUUUGCUGGAAGAGUUUAAAACCUAGUGGGAGAUAGCGUGUAAACAGAUCAUGUUAUUAAAAGUGCUAAGUGCUAUAAAAUUAGUAAGUACAGUGUUGUGGUCACACAGAGGAAGGCUCAGUGCUCAGUUUGGAAAGAAUGAUUAAGAAGGUUUUUGGGGAAGAUAACACCUAGGCUGAGUUUUGAAGGAUGAGUGGAAGACAGCCAGAUGCAGGGGCAGGGAAGGGAAUAGCACAGCAAAGAUGUUGAGGCAAUAACUACAGGUGUCCUUGGAGAACCACAAGGAGUUGGGUUUUACUGAAGUCUAAAUUAUAAGUGAGGUUUGCAAGGGGCUGUGAGAGGUGGAAAGUAGUGGCUGGAGAAGAAGAACAGAUGUGCUACCUGAUGACCUGGUGAAUAAUUCAGCAGGAUAAAAUGCCAACAAAGUCAGAGCCUAAGACCACACCUUGGUACUUGUAGAUACGGUACUGCUUCAGUUAGAACAGCAAUGCUGGUGCAGACUUAUUGACAGUGUGUUUCUGAAGCUCUCAGUCUCCUGACACCUUUUUGCCUAUUGCUUCCUGUGUGUUCCCACCCUGACUGAGCAGCUUCUCAAAAAGCCUUCCUUUGCCCCAGGAGUCAAGGUUAAAGCAUUCCUCUUUCCAGGCAUCUCUGCCUCCUAACAACAGAUUGACAGUACUCGCAACACCAACAAGUAUUUCCUGACACUUUAUGUGCCAGGCUCUGUACUAAAUCCUGUAAGUGCAAACAUGACAUCAUUCAAUCCUUAGUUAUCCUUGCUUUAGCAAUGGGAGACCGGGAUCCCUGGGUGGCGCAGCAGUUUAGCGCCUGCCUUUGGCCCAGGGCGCGAUCCUCGAGACCCUGGAUCGAAUCCCACGUCGGGCUCCCUACAUGGAGCCUGCUUCUCCCUCUGCCUGU